rnacentral:rRNA from 1 species
AAUAGAUACCCGGGUAGUCCUUGCCUUAAACUAUGUAUACUAGAUGUAGUCGGAUUCAACCCUGACUGUGUCGUAGCUAACGCGAUAAGUAUACCGCCGUGGGGAGUACGCUCGCAAGGGUGAAACUCAAAAGAAUUGACGGGGACCCGCACAAGCAGUGGAGCAUGUGGUUUAAUUCGAUGCAACGCGAAGAACCUUACCCAGGCUUGACAUGCAGAGGACAAUACCAGAAAUGGUAAAUCCCUUCGGGGCCUCUGCACAGGUGCUGCAUGGCUGUCGUCAGCUCGUGCCGUGAGGUGUUGGGUUAAGUCCCGCAACGAGCGCAACCCUUGUCAUUAGUUGCCAACACGUAAUGGUGGGAACUCUAAUGAGACUGCCUAGGUUAACUAGGAGGAAGGUGAGGAUGACGUCAAGUCCGCAUGGCCCUUAUGUCUGGGGCUACACACGUGCUACAAUGGUCGGUACAGAAGGCAGCGAAGCCGCGAGGCGAAGCAAAUCCGUAAAGCCGACCCCAGUUCAGAUUGU